rnacentral:rRNA from 1 species
AUUGAACGCUGGCGGCAGGCCUAACACAUGCAAGUCGAGCGGGGUUUUCGGACCUAGCGGCGGACGGGUGAGUAAUGCGUAGGAAGCUACCCGAUAGAGGGGGAUACCAGUUGGAAACGACUGUUAAUACCGCAUAAUGUCUACGGACCAAAGUGUGGGACCUUCGGGCCACAUGCUAUCGGAUGCGCCUACGUGGGAUUAGCUAGUUGGUGAGGUAAUGGCUCACCAAGGCGACGAUCCCUAGCUGGUUUGAGAGGAUGAUCAGCCACACUGGAACUGAGACACGGUCCAGACUCCUACGGGAGGCAGCAGUGGGGAAUAUUGGACAAUGGGCGCAAGCCUGAUCCAGCCAUGCCGCGUGUGUGAAGAAGGCCUUCGGGUUGUAAAGCACUUUCAGCGAGGAGGAAGGGGUGAGUGUUAAUAGUACUCAUCUUUGACGUUACUCGCAGAAGAAGCACCGGCUAACUCUGUGUCAGCAGCCGCCGUAACAC